rnacentral:rRNA from 1 species
ACUCAAAUGAAUUGACGGGGCUCUGCACAAGCGGUGGAGCAUGUGGUUUAAUUCGACGCUACGCGAAGAACCUUACCAAGGUUUGACAUCCUAGGAAUCUCCAAGAAACUGGGGAGUGCCUUCGGGAACCUAGAGACAGGUGUUGCAUGGCCGUCGUCAGCUCGUGUCGUGAGAUGUUGGGUUAAGUCCCGCAACGAGCGCAACCCUUGCCGUGUGUUGAAUUUUUCACACGGGACUGCCCGGGCCAACCGGGAGGAAGGCGGGGAUGAUGUCAGGUCAGCAUGGCCCUUACACCUUGGGCUACACACGUGCUACAAUGGCCGGUACAACAGGUUUGCCAAACAGCAAUGUGGAGCUAAUCCCAUAAAAACCGGUCCCAGUUCGGAUAGGAGGCUGCAACUCGCCUUCUUGAAGCCGGAAUCGCUAGUAACCGUGGGUCAGCAUACCGCGGUGAAUACGUUCCCAGAGCUUGUACACACCGCCCGU